UAUGUUGGGUGCAAGCGUUAAUCGGAAUUACUGGGCGUAAAGCGUGCGCAGGCGGUUUUGUAAGUCUGUCGUGAAAGCCCCGGGCUCAACCUGGGAAUUGCGAUGGAGACUGCAAGGCUUGAAUCUGGCAGAGGGGGGUAGAAUUCCACGUGUAGCAGUGAAAUGCGUAGAGAUGUGGAGGAACACCGAUGGCGAAGGCAGCCCCCUGGGUCAAGAUUGACGCUCAUGCACGAAAGCGUGGGGAGCAAACAGG
rnacentral:rRNA from 1 species